rnacentral:rRNA from 1 species
UGGGGAAUUUUGCACAAUGGGGGAAACCCUGAUGCAGCGACGCCGCGUGAUUUAGAAGGCCUUCGGGUUGUAAAAAUCUUUUCUAUGGGAAGAAAAUGACAGUACCAUAGGAAUAAGGACCGGCUAAUUACGUGCCAGCAGCCGCGGUAAUACGUAAGGUCCGAGCGUUGUCCGGAAUCAUUGGGCGUAAAGGGUACGUAGGCGGGUAAGCAAGUUAGAAGUGAAAUCCUAUAGCUCAACUAUAGUAAGCUUUUAAAACUGCUCAUCUUGAGGUAUGGAAGGGAAAGUGGAAUUCCUAGUGUAGCGGUGAAAUGCGCAGAUAUUAGGAGGAAUACCGGUGGCGAAGGCGACUUUCUGGCCAUAACCUGACGCUGAGGUACGAAAGCAUGGGGAGCGAACAGG